UGACAUUCCAAAUAACUACUGCACAGGAGUCAGCAGACAUGACACACUGAUGCUCUCUUCUCAGUGGCAGCCCAAGCAAGGCCUAUACCCUGACAUUGGGCAAUAAAGAUCUGUCUGUGUACUAUUCCAUGAAUGGGGAAGAGUUUAGAGACUGCAUUGGUGGAGGAUGAACACUGGUCAUGAAGAUCAAUGACAAACAGGACACCUUCAGUCACAAUUCAAACAUGUGGUCUUCCAGGUCUUCAGUCUCUCCUGAAAAUGGAGUCACAAGAUUGGAUCACUUAGAGACCCUGAGCCAACCUACUGGAGCACAUCCUUUACCAAAAUCUGCCUAACCAGGAAGGUUGAUAGACAAGGAAACUGUGAAUAAGUUGUGGACAAUUUAACAUUUAAAUGGGUUUUGAAUAUAAUUAAAUUUCUCUUUAUAAAAAAAAUACACUUUUACAUGUUAACAUAGGCAGCCAAUGGGUAACUCUUGGAUAGAGUUGACUGCUGGGGUGAUGUUGGGUGAAUAGUCAGAGUUCACAUUUUGGCUAUCAUUUGACCUGCGUCAUUCCUUUAGCUUCACUUUUGCCAUAAAAGUGUACACUUUUUAUGGCAGAUUUUUAACGUAACAUUUGUAUGAAUAUGCUGCAGGUUGUGAAUAAGUUACCCACUCCAUUCCUCCUUGUUCUUUUUUAAUAAGAUUCUUUUUGAUAGCAGUUGAAUCCCCACAAAAUUACAAAUGAAUAAGUGGCUGGUUGGCUAUCAGUUUAUAGGGUCCUUUUGAAUGAGAUCUGACUUUUGUUGCUAUGUCUUAUACUCAAUUUCAUAUUCAAUGUAGUCUUUCUUUUCUACAAGCCUGCUUAAUGUUUUCAAGAGAUGUGACCUUCUUGUUUCUGCUGUUGACAAUAAGCAAAACUAUGUAGGAUUAUCCAGCUGAUGUAACAUAGCAAACAAGUCUUUCUUGCAAUUUUCAAAGUAAGAUAAUCCUCCAAGAUUUCUUGAUACUCUAAACCCUUCAUCUUGAUGAAUUAAUUUAAUUACAUAAUCAUCUGAGUUUAGGUCACCUUCAAUAUAUUUGUUGCCUUUUGUUUCUUAUGCAGGCACAAUUUGAAUUUGUUUAGUUUGUAACUUUUUUUAAUUUAUAAAAGAUGUUUGGUUAUGCUACUUAUAUAUUGUACUAUAAUGGAAAGGUGUCAUUCUGUCCUUAUUAUCAGCUCGAGUUUUUCCACAAUAAAUAGUUGGAAAUGAUAGGAA